rnacentral:rRNA from 1 species
GACCCUUCGGGAGCUUGCACAGGUGCUGCAUGGCUGUCGUCAGCUCGUGUCGCGAGAUGUUCGGUUAAGUCCGCUAACGAGCGCAACCCUCGCUGUGUGUUAUAUGUGUCACACGGGACUGCCGGUCUUAAGCCGGAGGAAGGUGGGGAUGAUGUCAAGUCAGCAUGGCCUUUAUAUCCUGGGCUACACACACGCUACAAUGGCCAACACAAUAGGUUGCUAAGCCGCGAGGUGGCGCCAAUCCAUAAAGUUGGUCUCAGUUCAGAUUGUAGGCUGCAACCCGCCUGCAUGAAGAUGGAGUUGCUAGUAACCGCAGGUCAGCUAUACUGCGGUGAAUACGUUCCCGGGGCUU